rnacentral:tRNA from 1 species
GAGUGGUAGUUCAGUUGGUUAGAAUACCGGCCUGUCACGCCGGGGGUCGCGGGUUCGAG